UUCAGAGUAAAUAAUCAUCAGCUUAGGUUUGAAUAACUGACUAAACCAAAUGCAACUGUUUAAACGUUCCUAGGAGAAUUCACUUUAGCCACUUUUACAUUUAUGAGACCGGAAUUGUUUUGAGAUAGUAGAAGUCCACUUUCGCUUUGGCUCCAUCAGACUAUCUGUUAGCUUUGGUCUAACUGAUCCGGAUUUAUAAAUGAACACAUUAAGGGACUUAUUUACCGCAGGAAGUAGUGGACUCAUUUAUGCUCUCAGUGGGAUAUCUGGUCUGGGCUGAGCUGUGCUGGUUCAACAACCUGAGACCAUCCACUAUCUGCAGCUGUCCUCCUGCAUAACUUCCUGCCUGUGAUCCUGAUGGGAACAGGGGGCUCUCUGCAGAUGUGCAGCUGGCUGAAUAAAUGCAAACUCAACCAACUGAAGUGGGUCGAGGCAUUGUCUCAGUCACAAGGGAUAAUACCAACCCUGAUCCUAAGGACUGAGUCAACGCAGGACAUCUGAAGACAAACAUCCGAGAUGAUAAGGCUAGCGGGUGAUGCGCACCUUUGCUGUCCAAUAUGAAGAGAUCAUCACAACUUCUCCUCCUGUAUCAGAGCUUAAGGACAGCUGACCAGGACUCUUUUAUGAGACGCAGCCCUACUGUGAAUUUUAACGGAUCACAAAUCAGCAUCUGCCUUAUGUGUUUUAUGCUGCACUGGAUGAAUAGGUUCCUCAGCUGACUGGACUUUAUAAAAAGAAGAAAACUGGACUGAUUGGUGAAAAGAUGGAGCAGCUUUUGCUGGCAUAUCAGCAACAGGUGCUUAAAAAAAUACUUUCACUCUACCGUUUACUUGGUAGCUCCCAUUGUCAUGCUUUAUUUUUUUAUCUAUUAAGGACAAAAAAAUACAAAUUUUACACUUUUACAUGAAAUAAAUCAGAUCUUUAAAAUACUCCA